UACGGAGGAUCCGAGCGUUAUCCGGAUUUAUUGGGUUUAAAGGGUGUGCAGGCGGGAGAUUAAGUCGGCGGUGAAAUUUUGCAGCUCAACUGUAAAAGUGCCUUCGAAACUGGUUUCCUUGAGUGUAGAUGAAGUAGGCGGAAUUUGUGGUGUAGCGGUGAAAUGCAUAGAUAUCACGAGGAACUCCGAUUGCGCAGGCAGCUUACUAAACUACUACUGACGCUCAGGCACGAAGGCGUGGGGAUCAAACAGGAUUAGAUACCCGGGUAGU
rnacentral:rRNA from 1 species